GUGACUGCGUACCUUUUGUAUAAUGGGUCAGCGACUUAUAUUCUGUAGCAAGGUUAACCGAAUAGGGGAGCCGGAGGGAAACCGAGUCUUAAUUGGGCGUUAAGUUGCAGGGUAUAGACCCGAAACCCGGUGAUCUAGCCAUGGGCAGGUUGAAGGUUGGGUAACACUAACUGGAGGACCGAACCGACUAAUGUUGAAAAAUUAGCGGAUGACCUGUGGCUGGGGGUGAAAGGCCAAUCAAACCGGGAGAUAGCUGGUUCUCCCCGAAAGCUAUUUAGGUAGCGCCUCGUGAAUUCAUCUCCGGGGGUAGAGCACUGUUUCGGCUAGGGGGCCAUCCCGGCUUACCAACCCGAUGCAAACUGCGAAUACCGGAGAAUGUUAUCACGGGAGACACACGGCGGGUGCUAACGUCCGUCGUGAAGAGGGAAACAACCCAGACCGCCAGCUAAGGUCCCAAAGUCAUGGUUAAGUGGGAAACGAUGUGGGAAGGCCCAGACAGCCAGGAUGUUGGCUUAGAAGCAGCCAUCAUUUAAAGAAAGCGUAAUAGCUCACUGGUCGAGUCGGCCUGCGCGGAAGAUGUAACGGGGCUAAACCAUGCACCGAAGCUGCGGCAGCGACGCUGAUGCGUUGUUGGGUAGGGGAGCGUUCUGUAAGCCUGCGAAGGUGGCCUGUGAGGGUUGCUGGAGGUAUCAGAAGUGCGAAUGCUGACAUAAGUAACGAUAAAGCGGGUGAAAAGCCCGCUCGCCGGAAGACCAAGGGUUCCUGUCCAACGUUAAUCGGGGCAGGGUGAGUCGACCCCUAAGGCGAGGCCGAAAGGCGUAGUCGAUGGGAAACGGGUUAAUAUUCCCGUACUUGGUGUUACUGCGAAGGGGGGACGGAGAAGGCUAUGUUGGCCGGGCGACGGUUGUCCCGGUUUAAGCGUGUAGGCUGGUUUUCCAGGCAAAUCCGGAAAAUCAAGGCUGAGGCGUGACGACGAGGCACUACGGUGCUGAAGCAACAAAUGCCCUGCUUCCAGGAAAAGCCUCUAAGCAUCAGGUAACAUCAAAUCGUACCCCAAACCGACACAGGUGGUCAGGUAGAGAAUACCAAGGCGCUUGAGAGAACUCGGGUGAAGGAACUAGGCAAAAUGGUGCCGUAACUUCGGGAGAAGGCACGCUGACACGUAGGUGAAGUGAUUUACUCAUGGAGCUGAAGUCAGUCGAAGAUACCAGCUGGCUGCAACUGUUUAUUAAAAACACAGCACUGUGCAAACACGAAAGUGGACGUAUACGGUGUGACGCCUGCCCGGUGCCGGAAGGUUAAUUGAUGGGGUCAGCGCAAGCGAAGCUCCUGAUCGAAGCCCCGGUAAACGGCGGCCGUAACUAUAACGGUCCUAAGGUAGCGAAAUUCCUUGUCGGGUAAGUUCCGACCUGCACGAAUGGCGUAAUGAUGGCCAGGCUGUCUCCACCCGAGACUCAGUGAAAUUGAACUCGCUGUGAAGAUGCAGUGUACCCGCGGCAAGACGGAAAGACCCCGUGAACCUUUACUAUAGCUUGACACUGAACAUUGAGCCUUGAUGUGUAGGAUAGGUGGGAGGCUUUGAAGUGUGGACGCCAGUCUGCAUGGAGCCGACCUUGAAAUACCACCCUUUAAUGUUUGAUGUUCUAACGUGGACCCGUGAUCCGGGUUGCGGACAGUGUCUGGUGGGUAGUUUGACUGGGGCGGUCUCCUCCUAAAGAGUAACGGAGGAGCACGAAGGUUGGCUAAUCCUGGUCGGACAUCAGGAGGUUAGUGCAAUGGCAUAAGCCAGCUUGACUGCGAGCGUGACGGCGCGAGCAGGUGCGAAAGCAGGUCAUAGUGAUCCGGUGGUUCUGAAUGGAAGGGCCAUCGCUCAACGGAUAAAAGGUACUCCGGGGAUAACAGGCUGAUACCGCCCAAGAGUUCAUAUCGACGGCGGUGUUUGGCACCUCGAUGUCGGCUCAUCACAUCCUGGGGCUGAAGUAGGUCCCAAGGGUAUGGCUGUUCGCCAUUUAAAGUGGUACGCGAGCUGGGUUUAGAACGUCGUGAGACAGUUCGGUCCCUAUCUGCCGUGGGCGCUGGAGAACUGAGGGGGGCUGCUCCUAGUACGAGAGGACCGGAGUGGACGCAUCACUGGUGUUCGGGUUGUCAUGCCAAUGGCACUGCCCGGUAGCUAAAUGCGGAAGAGAUAAGUGCUGAAAGCAUCUAAGCACGAAACUUGCCCCGAGAUGAGUUCUCCCUGAGACUUAGAGUCUCCUGAAGGAACGUUGAAGACGACGACGUUGAUAGGCCGGGUGUGUAAGCGCAGCGAUGCGUUGAGCUAACCGGUACUAAUGAACCGUGAGGCUUAACCUUACAACGCCGAAG
rnacentral:rRNA from 1 species